rnacentral:rRNA from 1 species
GACGAACCGUGCGAACGUUGUUCGGAAUCACUGGGCUUAAAGGGCGCGUAGGCGGCUCAUCAAGUCGGGGGUGAAAUCUUUCGGCUCAACCGGAAAAGUGCCUUCGAUACUGAUGAGCUAGAGCGAGGUAGGGGCAGAUGGAACUUCCGGUGGAGCGGUGAAAUGUGUUGAUAUCGGAAGGAACGCCGGUGGCGAAAGCGAUCUGCUGGACCUCUUCUGACGCUGAGGCGCGAAAGCUAGGGGAGCAAACGGG